rnacentral:rRNA from 1 species
GUACACACCGCCCGUCAAGCCACGAAAGUCGGUAGUACCCGAAGUCGCUAUCCUAACCCUCGGGAGGGAAGCGCCUAAGGUAAGGCUGGCGAUUGGGGCUAAGUCGUAACAAGGUAGCCGUACCGGAAGGUGCGGCUGGAUCACCUCCUUU